UACAGAGGUGGCGAACGUUGUUCGGAUUUACUGGGCGUAAAGGGUCCGCAGGCGGUCCGGUGUGUCAGAUGUGAAAGCCCACAGCUUAACUGUGGAAUUGCAUUUGAAACUGCCGGACUAGAGUACUGGAGGGGAGAAGGGAACACUUGGUGUAGCGGUGAAAUGCGUAGAUAUCAAGUGGAACACCGGAGGCGAAGGCGCUUCUCUGGACAGAUACUGACGCUCAUGGACGAAAGUUAGGGUAGCGAAAGGG
rnacentral:misc_RNA from 1 species